AUGCUAGUACGGAAGUUUUGGUGGGGUUCAAAGGAUGGCCGCCGGAAGCCCCAUUGGGUCUCGUGGAAGGAUAUGACACAACCUAAAUCAAUGGGAGGGCUAGGCUUCAAGGACUUUGAGUUAUUCAAUUUGGCAAUGCUUGCGAAGCAGGGAUGGCGACUCCUCCAACAACCAGAGACUCUCAGUGCGCGGAUCCUGAAGGCCGUGUAUUACCCUACAUCUUCUAUUCUGCAAGCAACCAUUGGGUCCCAUCCUAGCCAAAUCUGGAGGGCGAUCAUUGAGGGG
rnacentral:rRNA from 1 species